rnacentral:lncRNA from 1 species
CAGGAAUGUUUAUUAUUUUUCCUAUGCAGCGAGGAAAUAAAGCACAAUUGUCUUGCACUUUGGAAAUGCUGGCAUCCCCACACACAGCUCCUCCAUGGAGAGCAGGGCCGCAGCUGGACGCUCCCCCCCUCAGCCCAGGCUGCCUCCCCACAAUCUGCAGCACACAGGGAGGGAGAUUUAUAGAGUGGCUGAGCUGGAACCUGCUGGGAAGGGCCACCCAGAGCCAUGGGAACACCUGCCAUAGGUGUGGCCUUGUGGGAUGGAGCCAACAGGGGAGUGGGUCCCUGUGUAAGAAAUGGGGUCACUUACCUGCACUGUUGCUCAUGUGUGAGGGGUGGGAUUGGAUGCUCCAUCCCAGCACACGGAAGAGAUGGGGACAGAGGGAGCUGGAGGACCAGGAGAUGGGAAUAAGGGAGAUUCUCAGAGCAUCGGGGAGCACUGCCACCACUGCCAGCCUCAGUGCUGCUGGCACAAAAGAGCUGGCACCUGGCUCAGGGCUGCUAUGGCAGGGUGCUCACACCAAUGGCACAUCAAUGGGAGGCUGUGCCCUCCCUCAGCAUCCCUCUGCCUCACUUCCCAACAGAUGCCAAUCUCCGCAUCCCUUCUCAGGGUGCCAGCCCACAAGGUGCCAUGGCUGCACCCCCAGACCUGCACAAGCACUUGGGGCAGGGAAAACCAAGGGCAAGAUGCCCCAGAGGGUGGAAGAAACCACUGAAAUUCAAAGGCAAGAAGAUGCACACCAUCAAACUUUAGUACAGGGAGCAAUGGCAGUGAGCACAGGGACUUCCAGCAGCACCAGCCCGGGCACAACCAUUCCAACUGCCCCAGCUCACGUUUUCCACGCAUUGCCACCCCCCAGGGGAGACGGGCUCUGCUGGACGGGGCCCAUUGUGCAAGACUUUCCAGCUUUGACCUCAGUCCUGCUGCAGUGCACGCAGCCUCAGCAGCCUGGAGGGCUGGAGCCGGUCCCACUCCCUGCCCUGUCUCGCAGGGCCCAGCCCUUUACAAAUCAAGAAUGUUUAUUUCAAAUAAUUAGGGGAAAAAAUAAAAAAAGGCCCUCGCGUAGAGAAGGGAAGCCCUGGGACAACAAAUGAACAUGAGUGUGAUACUCAGCUUCAAAAGGGCAGGCAGGACUGGUCUGUGCCUCAUAAAAUAAUGAGUAUUAGGAAAAGAUCCUGAAAUACCACAGAUAAAAAAAGC